AUGCAGUCGAGCGGACAGAUGGGAGCUUGCUCCCUGAUGUUAGCGGCGGACGGGUGAGUAACACGUGGGUAACCUGCCUGUAAGACUGGGAUAACUCCGGGAAACCGGGGCUAAUACCGGAUGGUUGUUUGAACCGCAUGGUUCAAACAUAAAAGGUGGCUUCGGCUACCACUUACAGAUGGACCCGCGGCGCAUUAGCUAGUUGGUGAGGUAACGGCUCACCAAGGCAACGAUGCGUAGCCGACCUGAGAGGGUGAUCGGCCACACUGGGACUGAGACACGGCCCAGACUCCUACGGGAGGCAGCAGUAGGGAAUCUUCCGCAAUGGACGAAAGUCUGACGGAGCAACGCCGCGUGAGUGAUGAAGGUUUUCGGAUCGUAAAGCUCUGUUGUUAGGGAAGAACAAGUACCGUUCGAAUAGGGCGGUACCUUGACGGUACCUAACCAGAAAGCCACGGCUAACUACGUGCCAGCAGCCGCGGUAAUACGUAGGUGGCAAGCGUUGUCCGGAAUUAUUGGGCGUAAAGGGCUCGCAGGCGGUUUCUUAAGUCUGAUGUGAAAGCCCCCGGCUCACCCGGGGAGGGUCAUUGGAAACUGGGGAACUUGAGUGCAGAAGAGGAGAGUGGAAAUUCCACGUGUAGCGGUGAAAUGCGUAGAGAUGGUGGAGGAACACCAGUGGGCGAAGGCGACUCUCUGGUCUGUAACUGACGCUGAGGAGCGAAAGCGUGGGGGAGCGAACAGGAUUAGAUACCCUGGUAGUCCACGCCGUAACGAUGA
rnacentral:rRNA from 1 species